rnacentral:lncRNA from 1 species
GAGAUGGGAGAAAUACUUGAAAGAGUGCGAUGACCAGUCCACUGUCAGUAUGGACAGCUCUGACUCGGAUUGUACUAGUGGAAAAGUUGAUGAUUCAGAAACUGACAAGACAGAAGACAUAUCAGUUCAAGGUAUUCAGGACAAGGUUCUUCAAGAGAAGUUCAUUGG